UGGGGAAUAUUGCGCAAUGGGGGGAACCCUGACGCAGCCAUGCCGCGUGAAUGAAGAAGGCCUUAGGGUUGUAAAGUUCUUUCGGUAUUGAGGAAGGUUGAUGUGUUAAUAGCACAUCAAAUUGACGUUAAAUACAGAAGAAGCACCGGCUAACCCCGUGCCAGCAGCCGCGGUAAUACGGAGGGUGCGAGCGUUAAUCGGAAUAACUGGGCGUAAAGGGCACGCAGGCGGUUAUUUAAGUGAGGUGUGAAAGCCCCGGGCUUAACCUGGGAAUUGCAUUUCAGACUGGGUAACUAGAGUACUUUAGGGAGGGGUAGAAUUCCACGUGUAGCGGUGAAAUGCGUAGAGAUGUGGAGGAAUACCGAAGGCGAAGGCAGCCCCUUGGGAAUGUACUGACGCUCAUGUGCGAAAGCGUGGGGAGCAAACAGGAUUAGAUACCCUGGUAGUCCACGCUGUAAACGCUGUCGAUUUGGGGGUUGGGGUUUAACUCUGGCGCCCGUAGCUAACGUGAUAAAUCGACCGCCUGGGGAGUACGGCCGCAAGGUUA
rnacentral:rRNA from 1 species